rnacentral:rRNA from 1 species
GUGCCAGCCGCCGCGGUAAUACCGGCAGCUCAAGUGAUGUCCCAUAUUAUUGGGCCUAGAGCGUCCGUAGCUGGCCUCGCAAGUCCGUCGGGAAAUCCAGUAGCUCAACUACUGGGCGUCCGGCGGAAACUGUGUGGCUUGGAACCGGAAGGCUCAGAGGGUACGUCCGGGGUAGGAGUGAAAUCCCGUAAUCCCGGACGGACCACCGAUGGCGAAAGCACUCUGAGAAGACGGCUUCGACAGUGAGGGACGAAAGCUAGGGUCUCAAACCGGAUUAGAUACCCGGGUAGUCC